GGUUUCGUGGUCUAGAGGCAUGAUUCUCGCUUAGGGUGCGAGAGGUCCCGGGUUCAAUUCCCGGCGAAGCCC
rnacentral:tRNA from 1 species